rnacentral:rRNA from 1 species
AUUGAACGCUGGCGGCAGGCCUAACACAUGCAAGUCGAGCGAGCGGCGGACGGGUGAGUAAUGUCUGGGAAACUGCCUGAUGGAGGGGGAUAACAACUGGAAACGGUAUCUAAUACCGCAUACCAUCAGAUGUGCCCAGAUUGGAUUAGCUAGUAGGUGGGGUAAUGGCUCACCUAGGCGACGCUCCCUAGCGGGUCUGAGAGGAUGACCCGCCACACGGGAACUGAGACACGGUCCAGACUCCUACGGGAGGCAGCAGUGGGGAAUAUUGCACAAGGGGCGCAAGCCUGAUGCAGCCAUGCGGCGUGUGUGAAGAAGGCCUUCGGGUUGUAAAGCACUUUCAGCGGGGAGGCGUUACCCGCAGAAGAAGCACCGGCUAACUCCGUGCCAGCAGCCGCGGUAAUAC